rnacentral:rRNA from 1 species
GACGAACGCUGGCGGCGUGCUUAACACAUGCAAGUCGAACGGAAAGACCCUGCUUUUGUGGGGUGCUCGAGUGGCGAACGGGUGAGUAACACGUGAGUAACCUGCCCUUGACUUUGGGAUAACUUCAGGAAACUGGGGCUAAUACCGGAUAGGAGCUCCUGCUGCAUGGUGGGGGUUGGAAAGUUUCGGCGGUUGGGGAUGGACUCGCGGCUUAUCAGCUUGUUGGUGGGGUAGUGGCUUACCAAGGCUUUGACGGGUAGCCGGCCUGAGAGGGUGACCGGCCACAAGGGGACUGAGAUACGGCCCGGACCCCUACGGGAGGGAGCAGGGGGGAAUAUUGCACAAUGGACGGAGAGUUUGUGCCAGAACCCCUGGAGGGAGGAUGAGGCUUUCGGGUUUGAAACGGGUUUCCCGUUGGGAAGAAGGAAAUGACGGUAAAAGGAGAAGAAAGGACGGCUAAAUACGUG